rnacentral:rRNA from 1 species
UGAGGAACAUGACCUUCGGCGGGGGAUAGCCGGCCCAACGGCCGGGUAAUACCGCGUACGACCUUCCGGGGACAUCCCUGGAUGGUGAAAGCAGCAAUGCGCCGAUGGAGUGCCUCGCGGCCUAUCAGCUAGUUGGUGAGGUAACGGCUCACCAAGGCAACGAUGCGUAGCCGACCUGAGAGGGUGAUCAGCCACAUUGGAACUGAGACACGGUCCAGACUCCGUAGGGACGG